GUUCCGACGGGACAUCCGAUAAAAUUGGAGCGAUACAGAGAAGAUUAGCAUGACCCAUGCGCAAGGAAGACACGGAUAAAUCGAGAAAUGGUACAAAUUUAA